AUGCAAUGAUAGAUGCUCAAUCUCAUAUUCUAUUCUGUAAUCAAUAUUGAUGAUUGUUAAUCCCUUCCCAGUGGUAAAAAUAUAAAUAACAAUACCUGGAAUACUUCCCGGUUAAAAUGCUACAUCGGUAUUAAUUUGUGCGCUUGCAGAUCCCAUUCAUUAUUUAUUUAGAAGAGCAAUUGCAUAUUUCAAUACCGCGCCUCUUAUAUCAUGCUGGGGAUGACAACUUGGCUUAAGUGGUGUGAGGGAUAGGUUUGGCAUUUUUGGCACCGUUACUAGAUUUAGAGAACUUAGUCAAC
rnacentral:lncRNA from 1 species